rnacentral:lncRNA from 1 species
UUUUCAUGAGAAGCAAUUGAGAUUUUUCUAUUUAUAAAAAUAAUAAGAAACUGAAGACAAUAAUGAGAAUGAAAAUGUAUUAAUAAUGUUAAGAAGAGAGUAGAAGUAGAACAUAAGAUUGAAUAUAUUGAUGAAUACAGACAAAUACGACGUAACACAACAUCACAUCAACAAAAAGAAAUCAUUACUUCGAUUCUACAACACUAACGAUGAAUGAGUCACAAUAAUUGACUCAACACAAUUUGUUUUAACGCACAAAAAAAGCUUGAAAUCCACGUAAGUAUUCAACUUGAGACAGUGGAGAACCACCUUUUAUAGUAUACACUCGAAAAGCAGAAACUAUGAAAC